rnacentral:tRNA from 1 species
GGUAGUAUAGCUCAAUCAGUAGAGUGUAUGCUUAGCAUGCAAGAGGUCCUGGGUUCGAUCCUCAGUACCUCCA